CAGAAUAAAAUUGCAGCAAAAGUUUUUUUUCACACAUGGAUAUUUACGUAAUGUUUAAACAAGAUUAAACUACUCAGCGCAUGGUCAUUCGACUACAUUCAUGACUUUGCUUCAUCGUUUACGUCACACGCCAAUGUGUGACGACCGAAAGUGCUAAAAGUUAACUAAUGUUAAUCAAAUAUGUAAAUUUGUCAGUGUUCAGGCGGUGCGAGCGCGAGCUCUCGCUCGAAUCCAGCGUAUUAGUUUUUCUCGACAACGCAAACAUCGAUUUUAGAGGUGCUUCUUCGAAGCCAUGUGCAAAUUGUCGCAAGAAUUCAAAUUAUUGAAUACUUAACAAUACUUAACUACACUUAGUUUGUGCUUGACAUUUACUAAGAGCUCCGCCUAUAUUGGCUGCGCGCAGGUCACAAUUUCAAACUUGCGCAUGCGCAAUUAUCACAACAUAACAAUGCGUUAAUUUUUCACAUUAUUAUUAACAUUUUUUGCCCCAACUGCGUUUUACAUUUUGUCAUGAAUUAUUCUAUUGUGCGUUAUUUAUGUUAUGCAGUCCGCUGGCGUGAGUCACGGCGCAUGGAAGGAAAACGCCAUAUAGAUAAUGGACGACACAUAAAUUUCCAUUUAUUUCCAUUUUGUGCGCCGCGCGUCCGUCCCGACAAAUGGGUAGGUAGGUAGGUAGGCGAAGAGGCGACUAGGUAACUCGGCGACUCGUGCCCGCAGAAAAGCAACAGAACCAACAAGGCAAAACCAGAAACGAGAAUCGCGCACGCAAAAGAAACACAACGCGAAAACGAAACAAAACACAAUGCGUGAGUGUGCGCGAAAGAAGAGUCAAAGCCACGACGUCAUCAGAUAAUUUUUUCCAUUGUGCUCCGCAUUGAAAAGCGAAACCGAGCAAAGAAUAUGAGAAAAGCACGCGCGAAAAGAGAAAACCACCAAACGCAAAAAGUUCAAGUACGUUCACGACGAGCGCACGACUUGAAAAACUAGAGCAACGACCAAAUUCAUUAUUUCGCCAAAAAGUCACGCAGCCAGCCAAACACAAUGAAAACGAAGAUCGCGCCGUGCCUUCGCCAAAGAAAUCGAAAACAAAGGAAGAAAUCGAGAAAUUAAAAGCGAAACACAAAAAAGAAGGCGAAUGAGAAGCGGAAUCGCGAAAUAAAGGAAGAACAGCGACGCGAGCAUAAAACAAUACGGAAUACGGAAUAAACUCGCGCCUUCUUCUUCUUCAUUGAAAGCACCAAACAAAACACAACCAACAACAAAUGCGCGCUCGCGCGCGACUCACAUCAUGGCGAAUCCGCAUGAAUCGCUACUAAAAUAUAAUAACAAGGUUACGUAACUGUUAACUUCUCGCCGUUUUUACUUUGUGCUCUCAUCCUCUCUUCGGAACGAUGUCGAGCGUUGUUUAUAUCUGCGCGUUUCGACGAUUUCGAUUUCGAUAACCUAAAUUACUCUUAAAGUCUUACCUUUUUUUCGCUCUCAACUUUUGCUUUUGUUUUCUCAGCAAACACACAACACAAUUUUAAUAAAAAUAAAUUUCCCCGACAGAAAGUUUAAUUUCUAGGAAUACCGUCAACAUUUUCUUUUCACGCUCCUCCAAUCGUUAAUUAUAGAUUUAUAAUAAAGUGUUGCUUAAAGUUC